rnacentral:rRNA from 1 species
GAUGAACGCUGGCGGCGUGCCUAAUACAUGCGAGUCGAGCGAACGGACGAGAAGCUUGCUUUUCUGAUGUUAGCGGCGGACGGGUGAGUAACACGUGGAUAACCUACCUAUAAGACUGGGAUAACUUCGGGAAACCGGAGCUAAUACCGGAUAAUAUUUUGAACCGCAUGGUUCAAAAGUGAAAGACGGUCUUGCUGUCACUUAUAGAUGGAUCCGCGCUGCAUUAGCUAGUUGGUAAGGUAACGGCUUACCAAGGCAACGAUGCAUAGCCGACCUGAGAGGGUGAUCGCCCACACUGAAACUGAGACAGGGCCCAGACUCCCAGGGGGGGCAGCAGUGGGAAAUUUUCCGCAAGGGGCGAAAGCCUGACGGGGAAACCCCGGGUGAGUAGUGAAGGUUUUGGGUUCGUAAAACUCUUUUAUUAGGAAAAAACAUAUGUGGAAGUAACUGUGCACAUCUGGAGGGUACCUAAUCAGAAAGCCACGGCAAACUACGU